rnacentral:rRNA from 1 species
AGAAUCAACGCUGGCGGCGUGCCUCAGACAUGCAAGUCGAACGAUUAAACUUUCCUUCGGGAAAGAUAUAAAGUGGCGCACGGGUGAGUAACACGUAAGUAAUCUACCUCGGGGUGGGGAAUAACGUUCGGAAACGAACGCUAAUACCGCAUAAUGCAGCGGCUUCUUAUGAAGACAGUUGUUAAAGCAUUUAUGUGCCUGGAGAGGAGCUUGCGGCAGAUUAGCUAGUUGGUAAGGUAAUGGCUUACCAAGGCGACGAUCUGUA